rnacentral:rRNA from 1 species
UACAGAGGGGGCAAGCGUUGUUCGGAAUUACUGGGCGUAAAGGGCGCGUAGGCGGCCUUCUAAGUCGAACGUGAAAUCCCCGGGCUCAACCCGGGAACUGCGUCCGAUACUGGCAGGCUAGAGUGCGGUAGAGGAUGGCGGAAUUCCCGGUGUAGCAGUGAAAUGCGUAGAGAUCGGGAGGAACAUCUGUGGCGAAGGCGGCCAUCUGGACCAGCACUGACACUGAGGCACGAAAGCGUGGGGAGCAAACAGG